rnacentral:rRNA from 1 species
AAAUUAAAUUUGGUUUUAAAGAAAAAUUAUCUAGUUUUUUUAUACAAUUUUUUAAAAAACAUUUGGUAGAAAAUUUAUUUUAUUUAAUAAUAAAAAAUUAUUAAGAAUUAGAAAUAAAUUCUAGCUUAAUUUG